AGUGAACGCUGGCGGCGUGCCUAAUACAUGCAAGUCGAACGGAGUGGCGCACGGGUGAGUAAUCUAUCGCUAAUCUGCCCCUUGCUUGAGGACAACCUUUAGAAAUGACUGCUAAUACUCCAUAGCAAGGGAUGAGACUAUCGCGUAUCAGCUAGUCGGUGGGGUAACGGCCUACCGAGGCUAUGACGCGUAACUGGUCUGCGAGGAUGAUCAGGCACAUUGGAACUGAGACACGGGCCAAACUCCUACGGGAGGCAGAAGGAGGGAAGAUUGCGCAAUGGGGGAAACCCUGACGCAGCAACGCCGGGUGGAGGAGGAAACUUUUCGGAGCGUAAACUCCUUUUGGGAGGGAAGCGGUACCUAACGAAUAAGCACCGGCUAACUCCGUGCCAGCAGCCGCGGUAAUUC
rnacentral:rRNA from 1 species